rnacentral:lncRNA from 1 species
GGCAGGGAUGUGUCUCCCUCCCUGCCAGCUGCAGCAUUCCCACAGUGUGCCCAGUGCAGUGCUGGCAGAGCUCAGCAUGAAGAAUGUCACUGUGGAAAAUGUCUCUGUGACGAGUGGAUGGCAGUCAGGUUUCAGCACAAAGAUAAGGACUCAUGCAUAGACCCUGGAUUUUCUUCUUUCCAGUCCUUUCCCUUCCAGGACAAGGCUGGAGUGUGCAGCUGGAAAUUUUCUCUUCAGCUGACUCUUCAAAGGAAGGUAUUCCCCAUUGGCCAUGUCUCAACAGCAUGGAGCACCACUCUGAGUAGAUAACAGGAGCUUUGGGUGUCCAUCUCAGCACAUGCAAGGGCCUGUGGUCUGUGCAGGAGCGCUCAGUACCAGACAUCACCCACAGGCUGAGCUGGAAGAGGCUGAACAGGAAGGGUCUGGAACACCUCAGAUUGGCCAUGGCAUUGCAUCUGCACAGGAAAACAUCUGUAUCAGCAGAACCAACAGAACUGGACGAAAUCCUAAUUUACCAUGGUCUGUAAAAGAGGCUGAAGUGCCUAUUUCCAGUGAGGCGAAUUUGAAAUUGAAAGAGGAAAACGAGUGCAUUGAAGAGAUCAGAAGCUCCUUUCCAAGCAUGUAUCUGGUGCAGGAUGGUGCUUGGACUCACAUCCCAGGAAGGAAGAGUGAUGAAGAUGAGCACUGCUGGAGCACACCAGGGCUGAGGGCAGCCCUGGGGAGGAUUUGCAGUCUGGGAUGGGAGGAUCACCAUGAUGUGGCUGGGAAGGACCAGGAAAGCUCCCCUGUACCCAAGGGCUUUGGUUCAGUGCCUACAUCUAGGAGGUGCAACAUCAGCCCCAGCUCUGCUCACCUUUCAUCAUGCCCUGUUCCCUCUGACUCAAAUCCUGCUCAGCCACCACCACUGUUAAAUUAGCUGGCAAUAUAUGUGAAUAUGCAGUCCUGGCUUCCUUCAUCUCUUGGCAGUCCCGCUGCACUGAAUUUAAAGUUACACUUUCCUUGUGCCAUUUAUUGUCCUGCUGUUGUGACUAGCAGGUUUCUGUGAGUAUCUGACAGGGUUCUACAGCUUUUCCAAAG